CUUGCUGGGUGGAUUAGUGGCGAACGGGUGAGUAACACGUGAGUAACCUGCCCUUAACUCUGGGAUAAGCCUGGGAAACUGGGUCUAAUACCGGAUAGGAGCGUCCACCGCAUGGUGGGUGUUGGAAAGAUUUAUCGGUUUUGGAUGGACUCGCGGCCUAUCAGCUUGUUGGUGAGGUAAUGGCUCACCAAGGCGACGACGGGUAGCCGGCCUGAGAGGGUGACCGGCCACACUGGGACUGAGACACGGCCCAGACUCCUACGGGAGGCAGCAGUGGGGAAUAUUGCACAAUGGGCGCAAGCCUGAUGCAGCGACGCCGCGUGAGGGAUGACGGCCUUCGGGUUGUAAACCUCUUUCAGUAGGGAAGAAGCGAAAGUGACGGUACCUGCAGAAGAAGCACCGGCUAACUACGUGCCAGCAGCCGCGGUAAUACGUAGGGUGCGAGCGUUAUCCGGAAUUAUUGGGCGUAAAGAGCUCGUAGGCGGUUUGUCGCGUCUGUCGUGAAAGUCCGGGGCUUAACCCCGGAUCUGCGGUGGGUACGGGCAGACUAGAGUGCGGUAGGGGAGACUGGAAUUCCUGGUGUAGCGGUGGAAUGCGCAGAUAUCAGGAGGAACACCGAUGGCGAAGGCAGGUCUCUGGGCUGUAACUGACGCUGAGGAGCGAAAGCAUGGGGAGCGAACAGGAUUAGAUACCCUGGUAGUCC
rnacentral:rRNA from 1 species